AAUACUGGACAAUGGGGGCAACCCUGAUCUAGCCAUGCCGCGUGUGUGAAGAAGGUCUUCGGAUUGUAAAGCACUUUACGUUGGGAGGAAGGGCAGUAAGUUAAUACCUGGCUGUUUUGACGCUACCAACAGAAUAAGCCCCGGCUAACCCUGUCCCCGCAGCCGCGGUAAUACAGAGGGUGCAAGCGUUAAUCGGAAUUAAUGGGCGUAAAGCGCGGGUAGGUGGUUCAGUAAGAUGGGUGUGAAAUCCCCGGGCUUAACCUGGGAACUGCUUUCAUAACUGCUGAGCUAGAGUACGGUAGAGGGUAGUGGAAUUGCCUGUGUAGCGGUGAAAUGCGUAGAUAUAGGAAGGAACACCAGUGGCGAAGGCGACUACCUGGACUGAUACUGACACUGAGGUGCGAAAGCGUGGGGAGCAAAC
rnacentral:rRNA from 1 species